UUGAGCGGAGUGCGGUGAAAGUCGCACGCUCCGUUCUUAGGGGACGGCGGCGCAGUAAUGCGCUGCUGUUACCCGAC
rnacentral:ncRNA from 1 species